UAGCUUAUCAAUAAGCGGAGGAAAAGAAACCAACAGGGAUUGCCCUAGUAACGGCGAGUGAAGCGGCAACAGCUCAAAUUUGAAAUCUGGCUUCGGCCCGAGUUGUAAUUUGCAGAGGAAGCUUUAGGCGCGGCACCUUCUGAGUCCCCUGGAACGGGGCGCCAUAGAGGGUGAGAGCCCCGUAUAGUUGGAUGCCUAGCCUGUGUAAAGCUCCUUCGACGAGUCGAGUAGUUUGGGAAUGCUGCUCAAAAUGGGAGGUAAAUUUCUUCUAAAGCUAAAUACCGGCCAGAGACCGAUAGCGCACAAGUAGAGUGAUCGAAAGAUGAAAAGCACUUUGAAAAGAGGGUUAAAUAGCACGUGAAAUUGUUGAAAGGGAAGCGCUUGUGACCAGACUUGCGCCGGGCGGAUCAUCCGGUGUUCUCACCGGUGCACUCCGCCCGGCUCAGGCCAGCAUCGGUUCUCGCGGGGGGAUAAAGGUCCUGGGAACGUAGCUCCUCCGGGAGUGUUAUAGCCCGGGGCGUAAUGCCCUCGCGGGGACCGAGGUUCGCGCAUCUGCAAGGAUGCUGGCGUAAUGGUCAUCAGCGACCCGUCUUGAAACACGGACCAAGGAGUCAAGGUUUUGCGCGAGUGUUUGGGUGUAAAACCCGCACGCGUAAUGAAAGUGAACGUAGGUGAGAGCUUCGGCGCAUCAUCGACCGAUCCUGAUGUUUUCGGAUGGAUUUGAGUAGGAGCGUUAAGCCUUGGACCCGAAAGAUGGUGAACUAUGCUUGGAUAGGGUGAAGCCAGAGGAAACUCUGGUGGAGGCUCGCAGCGGUUCUGACGUGCAAAUCGAUCGUCAAAUCUGAGCAUGGGGGGCGAAAGACUAAUCGAACCAUCUAGUAGCUGGUUACCGCCGA
rnacentral:rRNA from 1 species